UACGUAGGGGGCAAGCGUUGUUCGGAAUCACUGGGCGUAAAGGGUGCGUAGGCGGGUCUUUUAAGUCAGGGGUGAAAUCCUGGAGCUCAACUCCAGAACUGCCUUUGAUACUGAAGAUCUUGAGUUCGGGAGAGGUGAGUGGAACUGCGAGUGUAGAGGUGAAAUUCGUAGAUAUUCGCAAGAACACCAGUGGCGAAGGCGGCUCACUGGCCCGAUACUGACGCUGAGGCACGAAAGCGUGGGGAGCAAACAGGG
rnacentral:rRNA from 1 species